CCGAGUUAGUGGGUUCUUCUUGAGCCUAAACUCCAACCCUUUGUUGAUAAACCUCUGUUGCUUCGGCGGGCUGGUGGCUCUAAAUGCCACCGUAAGCCCCCUUUUAGAGGGCUUAUUAGCGCCCGCCGGAGGCCAUUCGAACUAUUUUAACGGGGUAGUCUGAGCACAUCGGCAAAUGUUAAUA
rnacentral:misc_RNA from 1 species